rnacentral:rRNA from 1 species
GUGGGGAAUAUUGGACAAUGGGCGCAAGCCUGAUCCAGCCAUGCCGCGUGAGUGAUGAAGGCCCUAGGGUUGUAAAGCUCUUUCACCGGUGAAGAUAAUGACGGUAACCGGAGAAGAAGCCCCGGCUAACUUCGUGCCAGCAGCCGCGGUAAUACGAAGGGGGCUAGCGUUGUUCGGAAUUACUGGGCGUAAAGCGCACGUAGGCGGACAUUUAAGUCAGGGGUGAAAUCCCAGGGCUCAACUCUGGAACUGCCUUUGAUACUGGGUGUCUUGAGUAUGGAAGAGGUAAGUGGAAUUCCGAGUGUAGAGGUGAAAUUCGUAGAUAUUCGGAGGAACACCAGUGGCGAAGGCGGCUCACUGGUCCGGUACUGACGCUAAGGUGCGAAAGCGUGGGGAGCAAACAGGAUUAGAAACCCCUGUAGUCC